rnacentral:tRNA from 1 species
GCGGGAAUAGCUCAGAUGGCUAGAGCACAAGCCUUCCAAGCUUGGGGUCGCGGGUUCGAGUCCCGUUUCCCGCUCCA